GGUGGGGCAGUGUGAAAAUGCACCCCUCAAAAAUGUCAUGGGCAAGGUGCCCCUUAAAAUGUUCAUUUUACUGUGAGGAAGUGAAAUCUCAACUUCCCUGCAGGGAAAUUAUAGAUCACAUGGGUAGUUGCAAACAUGUUUCGCCAUAUCAUUUCAUAUGCUGGGUGGCAGCUCUUACUGGUUUAUUUUCUAAAUGAUUCACCAGGGAAGAACUUGAAGAACUCCAUUUUAAGCUUUAAGAGUCAAAGUAGCAUCAUCUAAAUAAAGCAGCUGUAGGAUCUCACCGGCCCACACGGAACAGAGUGCAGCAGUGGAGGCCACAGCAAUACCAGGCAGAAGCUCAAGGUGAGAGCUACCACACUGCGAACAAAAGCCAGCAGCAACUCCCUGCCCCUAGCAGUGAGGACACAUUCCACAGGACAGUGUGUUUUUGCUGGGGCUCUACCUCCUCUCACAAAUUCCUGCCUGAGCUACCCGAGUGCCCUGUUCCAGGUCCAUCCAGGUGAAGCUGGCACACUGAAGACUCAAGACCAUGGGUACUGCUCAUAAGGAAAAGAAUGAUGCAAAGCCAUUUUCAGGGUGGCUGUCUCAGAAAGCUGCAGUCGCCGUUCCGUCUCCUGCAGGUAUUUUAGUUUAGAGGUGCAUAUAGGAAACUUUGAUCAGUUUGUUAAAAAAAUUGUUUAAAGCCUAACUAGCUGCAGAAAAAGCACCACUCAGAGUCAGAAGUUUCACACUCUUAAAAAGGAAUAAUACAAAGUGGGUGUUGCAUUCAGGCUCAUUCAUUUUUCACUUACACGCUAAACAACUCCUUUGCCUGUUUAAUUUUUAUUGUUAACCCUUUGUUUCACCCACUUCUGAACAAUAAACCUCCUCCAAACAUUUCAAUUAUUAAGAUCAGAAAGAAAAUGGGGUGUGUGCGCUGCCCACCAGCUAAGUAGCAAUAGCAUAACUUCAUCAAGGCUGAUGUGAUUUUAGCUAUGUGUGAACCCAGUGCAAAACACUGAUGACUCCAUUGAGUCAUGCCUGAAUUAAAAUUAUGGGAGAUCAGGAAGAGCUUAUGAAGACAGGAGUCCUGGGACUCCUAACUUUCUCAUUUAUUCACUGUGUACACUCAGGAAAAUCACUUGAGCUUGCGCAUUGUAGUUUUCUUCCCAUAAAAAAUGGCACAGUACUACUAAUGUAUUUUAUGACUGACAUGCACUAAAAAACAGAGGCCAUCCCAGGAAGGCUGCAGAGCAAGGCAUGUGCUCUGCCAUCACCCAAGUGCUUUGAAAAUGCCACCCAGUUCUUCUUUUUGCCUUAAAGUCUGUGUAUAAACAUGGCACAUAGGACCGCUGCAUUGCUUAGUACUUUUUUCAACAGUCUUGUGAUCAUCUGUUAAAGGACUUGAUUCAGAUGCUGGUUUGACCUCUGUUCUCAAAGCUCUUCUUUUGUCUGUGAGCGUUUCUAAUCACAUGGGUUGAGAUUCAGCAUGCCAAAAAGAGCCAUGGUAUAACGGAAUUUGCCCUUUAACCUUCAGGUCUCCCCUCUGCUGAGACACAGUUGGUUUUUGUUUUCAAUUAAGUGAAAACUGAAGAAGAACUGAGAGGUAAAACUGGAUUUGCUCCCCACCCCAGUCUCAAUGUUUCGUACACAGGUGAAGCACCAAAAUUCACCCAUUUUAUUUUUUGCAUUUCAACAGUAUGUUCGGUUCUAGGGACUGCAAGUGAAAUUUAAGAGCAUGAUUUGAUUCACGAACACUUCUUGAGCUGUUAAAACAGAAGUGGGUUAUGUACAGCAGUGAGCUGGAUGUUCCAUGUGAAAUGGAGGAAGCUGAUCGAAGGGGUCUUCUUAAUUCCUAACUGCUGUGAUACCGUAAUUAUCCCACUCUCCAAGACCUCCAGCACAAAAAACAUGUUUUCCUCCAUCCAGCUUUUUUAUGUUUUGCAUCAAAAGGUAAAAAUUAAAAAUUCUACCAGUGUCCAUGAUUCAAAAGAAUUUUCCUGAUGUUUUCCUAACAUACACAAAGAGGGAUGUAUUUUGCUUUCCUGGUUUUGCAAUGAAAGUUGAAACAGUGAUUUUGCGUUAUUAUAACACUCAUCAUUUCUCCCUCUAAUUUGGAUGGUUUUUAAUAAAGCUCCAUUGAUUCCACUGAAAGAAAUCCCUCCUGGCAAAAGCAGAACACACACGCUGAUUGCUAAAUAUGCAGCAAUUAUCAUAUUCAGCAGCGCACUUUAAUAUCUUAUUUAUAGAUGUAUCUAUCUAUAAUUUGCUUUAAUUAAGUUGCAUUGAUUUUAAUGACAGAAGCAGUCCUCAAAGAAGCGUCUAAUGUUAUAUGAGCCCAUUGGUACUGCUUUACCAUUGUUUGGAUAUAAGACAGCACCUUUAAUACUUCUUUUUGGUAUUCUUGGUGGUGCUUUUCUUUGCUAAGUGGCUGCAAUGGCAAGCCAAGAUGAUGUCCCACAGGAAUUCUCAAAAAACACCUCCACCACUGCAGAGAGCACUUCCAGCUUUCCUGUUACAAACUUGUUCGUAGGACAGUUUUCAAGAAAAAGGAAGGAAGCGGUAUCUCCCCAUCAGGUCCUGAGAAACCUUGCGUUUCUGUUCCUGCUCCAUUUUAUAGACAUCUCAGGACUGUAAUUGUGAGAGGUUCUCAAAUCAUGGCCCGAUGCCUUCAAAGUUUGUUUUGGGCAGUCCGGCAACCAACUUGAACUUUUUUGUUUCAUUGCCAACAGAAAAUACAGGGUAAAUCACUUGGGAAGGUGAACCAACAGAUAGCUACAAGUGCCUGUUCACCGCCCAUCGUGAUCUUGCAGACUCUUAAAGUUCUGUUUUCUGGGCUCAGUCACAGGGAAUGUUGAGCCUUCUUUUUGUGAAGCACGCUGACUUUAAGCAUUUUAUACUAUUCUGGUUUUGAGAUUAUUCCAAAGAACACUUGAUGUUAUUAGAACUGUGACAAAGUUUGUCAAAAAACAUCUUGAGGAACUAAAGGAAUGUAUUGCUGCACUCCCAGCAGAGCCUCACAGCCUUGGUUUCUGCUGGGUGCUACCACAUACCUUGGCCCCGAUUCAGGAAAGCAUGCUAAAUACUGAUGAGGGUGGUUUGUUUUAAUUUCAAUAGCAUUUGAUUCCUCUUGGAGGCAUUCCCAAAGCUGACAUACACCUGCAUCUCUCAGUGGCUGUAUCUCCUUUUUGGGUGAAAAUACACAGGAAAAACAUUUAUAUCUCUGUAUCCUGCACACGUCUUCACACAUUUGAAUGCAGCAUUCUAGUGAUGAUGAUCUCGGCAUUUCUCUCUCUGAAGUAACCCCAUAAGAUAUUACUGGUUCAUAGCAAUUGAGGAUCUCUCUCAGAGACUACUGAGGUAGCUUUAUAACAUUACUUAUGCAGAUCUUAAUGUACCAUUCACUGCUAGUAAUUUUUUUCUAAAAGUGAAAAAUAAACGCUGGCUUUUUAAAUCACUGCCUUUUGGAAUAUAUCAACACUAAUUUUAUAAGAAUUGUUCAUGUUAAAAUGCAAGGGCAUGAUCUCAAAGGAAAAGCACCAAAGUAGCUAUGGAAGUACAUUUUCAGUUUCUGGUCAUCAUUUUUCAUUCACUGAUUAUUGCUUAAGUGUUGAUUAAUAGUUAUGUUCAUGCUGCUAGAAUACAUUUCCCUUGGGUGAGAAAAACAUACUUGUCUAAAGGAAAAAAAGACAUAGUAAUCAACCCAUCCUUCCUCCUCUCUGUAAGAAACACAGGCACACACUCCAGAGUCACUGAUGAUCUUGGUUUUGCUGGUGAGUAGUUUUGAAAAUUUUCACUUAGAAAAUCAGCUGUAUGCAAUCAGAACACUACUUGGUCACUCAGAUUGCUAGGCAAUUAAAUGCUCCCCUUCUGCCUGUCUGCCUCUCUCCCCACAUAUAUAUACAUACGUACACAUAUAUACAUGCACACACAAAUGUACA